rnacentral:rRNA from 1 species
GAUUAUGGCUCAGGAUGAACGCUAGCGACAGGCUAACACAUGCAAGUCGAGGGGCAGCAUAAAAGUAGCAAUACUUGGUGGCGACCGGCGCACGGGUGAGUAACGCGUAUGCAACCUACCUAUCAGAGGGGAAUAACCCGGCGAAAGUCGGACUAAUACCGCAUAAAACAGGGGCACCGCAUGGUGAUAUUUGUUAAAGAGAUUCGCUGAUAGAUGGGCAUGCGUUCCAUUAGGUAGUUGGUGAGGUAACGGCUCACCAAGCCGACGAUGGAUAGGGGAACUGAGAGGUUGGUCCCCCACACUGGUACUGAGACACGGACCAGACUCCUACGGGAGGCAGCAGUGAGGAAUAUUGGUCAAUGGGCGGGAGCCUGAACCAGCCAAGUCGCGUGAAGGAAGAAGGAUCUAUGGUUCGUAAACUUCUUUUGCAGGGGAAUAAAGUGCAGGACGUGUCCUGUUUUGUAUGUACCCUGAGAAUAAGGAUCGGCUAACUCCGUGCCAGCCGCGGC